rnacentral:rRNA from 1 species
GACGGAGGGGGCUAGCGUUGUUCGGAAUGACUGGGGGUAAAGGGCGCGUAGGCGGUGUUUUAAGUGAGGCGUGAAAGCCCUGGGCUUAACCCAGGAGGUGCGUUUCAUACUGGAAUGCUAGAGUGCGAGAGAGGAAAGUGGAAUUCCUAGUGUAGAGGUGAAAUUCGUAGAUAUUAGGAAGAACACCAGAGGCGAAGGCGGCUUUCUGGCUCGCAACUGACGCUGAGGCGCGAAAGCGUGGGGAGCAAACAGG